rnacentral:rRNA from 1 species
AACGCGAAGAACCUUACCUGGGCUUGAACUACUGGUAGUAAGUCUUUGGAAACAUAGACUGAUCCGCAAGGAAGCCAGCAGAGGUGCUGCAUGGUUGUCGUCAGCUCGUGUCGUGAGAUGUUGGGUUAAGUCCCGCAACGAGCGCAACCCCUAUCUCAUGUUGCUAAUCCCGCAAGGGAUGCACUCUUGAGAAACUGCCUUCGAUAAGAAGGAGGAAGGUGGGGACGACGUCAAAUCCUCAUGGCCCUUAUGUCCAGGGCUACACACGUGCUACAAUGGCCGGUACAACGGGAAGCAAUACCGCAAGGUGGAGCAAAACCCUGAAAGCCGGCCUCAGUUCAGAUCGUGGGCUGCAACUCGCCCACGUGAAGGCGGAAUCGCUAGUAAUCGCGAAUCAGCAGGUCGCGGUGAAUACGUUCCCGGGCCUUGUA